UCAGUAUCUCUUGCUCACUGGCCAUGACUUGACCAUCUGAAAUCCAGUCUCAGCAUGGAGUUGAUGUUGGCCUUCACCAUGGAUGUGUGAUCUUCUUGUGUUAUGAUGGUCCUGAGUCAUGCAGAAGACACUGAAUUACCCUGCUGCAGACAAGCAGCCACCUGGUUCCACACUACAAAGAUGCAGAGAACACCAGACCACCAGACCAAGAGUCUCAUUAUAUCAUUAAGCUGGCUUUGAACUCACUGCAUAACCUAGGAUGGAUUCAAGCUCGUGAUGAUCCUCUUGCCUCAGCCUCUCAAGUAUUGAGUGGCUAUGCCUGGCUAGAUUUUGUGUUUUGUUUUUUAUGAUUCAUGUGUUCUUUUUGUGGUUCUGUGGAUCAAGGUGUUAUAUAUGCUAGAUAAAGGGGGCAGAGAAGGAAGAGAUUCAUUUCAGGGCAGCACAUUGCUGUGUGAAAGAACUACAUUUCCCAGUCCAUCUUGAAGCUGAUGUGAUCAUGUGACUGAGUUUUAGUCAGUGAGAAACAAGCAAGAAUAUGGGAGUCUAAAGUGGAAAAUGGCAGCCUCUCUUUGGUCCUAUUCCCUUCCUGCUACCUGGAAUAUGGAUGAAAUCACAAGAGCUUCAUAUGUUUGCAAAUUGUGGCCCUUUGCUAAGUGACUGAAAGAACAUGGAAGAAACCUAAAUCCCUGACACUUGUGUCCACCAUACUGCUUCUGACCUGGAACUCUGGGCUUGAUCAUGUGGGAAAGAAAACAAACCUUAUUAUAUUUUG
ensembl:lncRNA